GACAUCGAGAAGCCGUUGUGACCGCUCAGUGGACGUAUUGUGAAGCAUGAAAUCGAAAGUGGUUACGGCAUGCGAGAGAGAUCGGAUAACAAGCAUCCUCUGAUGCUUUCCGUGGAGAAGAACGCUGCAGUGAACGAAGCAUAGAUUGCCAGGUACCAAUAGUACAUCUGACCCAAUGAUGAGAAACCGGCUAUCGGACGUAUCCAUUGUACUGUAGCGGUUGAUGAUGGCUCGUCAAGAGAGACAGACAACAGACGAGGAGGAGUGGGACCUGAAAUAGCAUCAAUCAAGUACAUCACAGUUAUAGUUGCCAGCACCAACAGAGGUGAAUGCUCUGACCUAAUGGGGUGAUUGAGAUUAAGUAAAGAAUACACGAUGUUCUAAGCUACACUUACUUUAAAUGAGUACUCAUACUCAAAGUCAGUUGCAUCUGGGAGAUGAAUUACUUUAUGGAUCGAACGGCUUUUUAUAGGCAUUAGAGGCAAACUAAUGUUGACAUCAUUGCUCAUCAUUUUGAUUGAAAAAUCUGACUCUUGACUCAUCUACAAGUCACAUAAAUAUAGAAUAAGUGAAUAACGCAAUCUGUCUUACGAUCCUUACCUGAAGCUCACCAUUUCUCUCCAACGUGUAUGUGGUUUUUAUUGUCUCUAUCUCAUAAUGUGUUAUGAUGCCAUUUGGAUUUAGCGGUGGCUCCCAAGUUAAAAAAGCCUCACUCAAUUGUCUACGUGUUUGGGAGGCCUCCAGUUUGAUCGGAACUCCUGGAACUAACCAGACAAAUGUAUAAGAAAGUAUACAGGGAUAUGUAAGGAUGUUUAUAGUCGUACUGUCUUCAGGUGUACGGAAUGAGUAUGGACCACUGACGCUUGAGUAUUGUCCUCCUGUCUGUGAAACAGCUUUCACUGUUACGCUGUAUGUAUGGAAUGGUCUCAAGGCGAGUUCACCGAUGUUGUAGCUGAGAGACGAAAGAUUGGCAAGAUGCAAUGAAAUGCUGGAAUUCCACCCACUUGUCUCGGCAUCCUUUACAGUUAUGAGGAAACUCAACAGUGUACUCUCAUCUGGAUAAUCUGGAGUAGCCCAUGUGAUGGUUACCAAAUUGAUACUCAACACUGUUAUAUCUACCGAAGGCUUGGCAAGAGGAGCUAGAAAGCAGAUAUACAAAUUGAUGAUAUGACAAGGCAAAUUGUAGUGAAAUACUGUACCAUAAUCGGUGUACACAUCCAGGUGUGUAUCAUAGCCUUUAUACUUGUUUGUGGCAGCAAGAAGACAGGCAUAACACGUAUCUGGAGUGAGUCCGGUGAUAGUAUACACUCUGUCGGUUGCAUUGAUUGCUGCUAUCUUUACCCAACUAGAAGCGUCUUCCACAUAUGUGUGGCCCAGACUGCAAUUGGCUUUUGCAUAAGACAGUGUGUAACCUCGAACGAUUCCGUUCGGUUGCGACGGUGGUAGCCAAGAGACUUGCACGGCGUUAUGUGUGUGUCCAACGAAUGUGAAGUUUGAAGGCAAUGCUAACACUGCAACAGCACAAAUGAAUCAUUUCUGAUGAUACCAAAUGUGGAGAUGCCAUCAGCAUUCACUUACAUCCUUCAUCUGUUAGGAAAGCAUGUGUCUUUGAUAAAAGAUGCACAGAACAGUUUGAAUAUGCUUGCACUGUUGCUGUGUAAUGUGUGAAGUGAUUGAGCUCAAUGAGAAGGCUGUGGGUUGUUGGUGUGGUGAAACUAGAGUUGACGAUCCUACUUCUAGAGUUUCUAAUUGUUACUCGGUAUUUAAUAACAGUGUUAGAUGUCUUGGUAGAUUCCAGAGACCAACUGACAUUUACUGUUGACAUUGGUAGAGGUUCAUUCUUGUAAUUGAGUCGAGAUUCAUUCUUCACAUUGA